UACUGCACAGUGUCACCAUUUUCCUCUGCCAUCACAGAUGACACAGAACUACUGGAUGUGUUUGAUCCACAACUUGCUGACAUUAAGGACAAAACUCUCAGAUGAUCUUAGCAGUUCAUGACUGCGACAAGUAUGCAAAAAUAUACUUCAAGAAGAUCAUACAUUUGCAAUCUGUGAUGCAGAUAUUUGAUGCAGACUUUUCCACCUUUGCUAUCUUCUACAAGCCCAGGUUAACAGCCAGGUGCAAUCUUUCCAUAAAGAAUUUACUGCUGUUGGGCAUAUGGUGAAGUGCGACUACAUGUGUGUGACCUGGACAUUCCAAAAUACCUGUCACAAUAUUUACUCAUAUUAAGGUCACACACCUCCAUAUCCCCAGAUACCAACCUCUAAGUAUCUGCUGCAUUGCUAUGAACACAGCCUCACAGAACAAUGCUGACUGGUGGCCAUCUGGCUUUCAGAAAGUCAAGCACUACAAGCCAUUCCACCCGAAUGCAAGCUUUGUCCAUCAUUUCCCAUCUGACUUUCUUUCAAGCAAACCAGGCGGUAUGUCUCUACACAGAACUGAGGGCAUGACAAGGGAAAUGCCAACUUUACAUUAAGAAAGCUGAAACCUGCUCUCAGCUGAUGUCAGGCAGAGUUUGUGGUAUGGGCAUGUCUCCCUCUGCCCUGCAGUGUUAUGCCUCAAAGGUAUCAAGAAUACAGUGGGACAGAGAAGCCAAACUGCUCACUGACCUUCAUGAACAGUUGUACUACAUCGGGAUUGAGGUAUACUGUAAGAAUGAAUGCCACUAUCAGCAACAUUUUAAGGAGAAAGAAAUUUAAUCCCCGUGAGUACCAAAACAGCAACCUCCAAAGUCAGUGGAUAAAAAAUGUGCUUAAAAAUGCUGUAUGCUGUUGAAGAAAGAAGUGCUGAAACUAUUGCUAGGCUGUGUGAACCCCAAAAGGUCCUGCUUUAAUUGAAAAUGUUUGGAACAGACUCCAGUUCUAUUUUUAGCAGAAAACACAGCAGUUGAGUACUGUUUCUGCUGUUCAGCGUGCUCCCAAGGUUAACUCUUCUGAAUCUGCCCCUUCCUGUUGCUGUACCAAAGGUGACUGACAGUGCUUGAGAACACAGCUGGCUUUCUCACUUCCUUCCCUGUGAACAUCCAGGGAUGUAGACUGCUGAGGCCACAGCAAGCACCAGCUUGUCUUAAGGUUUGAGCUCUCCAGUCUGCAAUUCAAAGGUCUGGGCACAGAAGACAAAGGAUUAUGACAUUUUGUGUUUGUUGCAUCAGAUGCUACUCAGUGUUCUGGAGCGUGCAACAGGCAGAAUGACUCAGAAGAGAACUGACUUGAAAACAUACAUGGACAUAUUCAAAUACAGCUUUCUAACAGUUUGAGAUGAAGUUAUGUAAGGUACCAAAGUAAGACAUUACUGCAUACACAAUAUGGUAAGGACAACUUGGCUUCUGUUACUAACAGUCCUAGAAACCUAACAAUAGACUUGUUAGGAUAGUCAUACCCCAAAGAAGUUAUGCAUGCAUAAACAAGUAUUUUGUAUAUACUUGCAUUUCUCAUACUAUUGUCUAAACACCCAUGAAGUAAAAAGAUUCGUGUACUUCCUAAAAUUGGGAAGAGAAUCAUCAAAAUGCAUCUUAAAAUAUUGUAGAGUUCCUUAACGUACUUUGAAAUAAAGAAUAGGAUUCCCCCUCUCUCAUCCCAGCAGACUCCCAGUAGAUUUUAGUCUUCCCCUCAGGUAAAUUUUUCUACCAGAGUCUUCUCACAAUUCUCAGUGGAUUCUCUGGUGAUCUGCAACACUGAACAAAAACUGCUCUUGGACUCAAAACUGCAAAUUAUGCUGUUUUCAGCAGAGACCCAAAAAUGCAAAGUUAAGGAUGUGAACUGGCCUUGUUAAUCUUAAUAUAAAUCUAAUAACUUAAA